AUACGGAAGGUCCGGGCGUUAUCCGGAUUUAUUGGGUUUAAAGGGAGCGUAGGCGGAUGUUUAAGUCAGUUGUGAAAGUUUAAGGCUCAACCUUGAAAUUGCAGUUGAUACUGGAUAUCUUGAGUACAUUGAAUGUGGGCGGGAUUCGUGGUGUAGCGGUGAAAUGCUUAGAUAUCACGAAGAACUCCAAUUGCGAAGGCAGCUCACAGUAAUGUAACUGACGCUGAUGCUCGAAAGUGUGGGUAUCAAACAGGAUUAGAUACCCCGGUAGUCCACACAGUAAACGAUGAAUACUCGCUGUUUGCGAUAUACAGUAAGCGGCCAAGCGAAAGCGUUAAGUAUUCCACCUGGGGAGUACGCCGGCAACGGUGAA
rnacentral:rRNA from 1 species